rnacentral:sRNA from 2 species
AUGGUCCACGCGUCCACCCCGGUGCUGAGAGCGCCGUCCGCACCCACCUGACGACUGCUCGGUACGGUGUGUGAGCC